UCCCUACGGGGGGCAGCAGUGGGGAAUAUUGCACAAUGGGCGAAGGCCUGAUGCAGCAACGCCGCGUGGGUGAAGAAGCGCCUCGGCGCGUAAAGCCCUGUCAGCAGGGAAGAAAAUGACGGUGCCUGAAGAAGAAGCCCCGGCUAACUACGUGCCAGCAGCCGCGGUAAUACGUAGGGGGCAAGCGUUAUCCGGAUUUACUGGGUGUAAAGGGGGCGCAGACGGCGACGCAAGCCAGGAGUGAAAGCCCGGGGCCCAACCCCGGGACUGCUCUUGGAACUGCGUGGCUGGAGUGCAGGAGGGGG
rnacentral:rRNA from 1 species